UACGAAGGGUGCAAGCGUUGCUCGGAAUUACUGGGCGUAAAGCGUGCGCAGGCGGCUUCUCAAGUCAGGGGUGAAAGCCCAGAGCUCAACUCUGGAAUUGCCUUUGAGACUGAGUGGCUUGAGUACGGGAGAGGUGAGUGGAAUUCCCAGUGUAGAGGUGAAAUUCGUAGAUAUUGGGAAGAACACCGGUGGCGAAGGCGGCUCACUGGCCCGAAACUGACGCUCAUGCACGACAGCGUGGGGAUCAAACAGG
rnacentral:rRNA from 1 species